GUGCAAGCGUUAAUCGGAAUUACUGGGCGUAAAGCGCACGCAGGCGGUCUGUCAAGUCGGAUGUGAAAUCCCCGGGCUCAACCUGGGAACUGCAUUCGAAACUGGCAGGCUUGAGUCUUGUAGAGGGGGGUAGAAUUCCAGGUGUAGCGGUGAAAUGCGUAGAGAUCUGGAGGAAUACCGGUGGCGAAGGCGGCCCCCUGGACAAAGACUGACGCUCAGGUGCGAAAGCGUGGGGAGCAAACAGGAUUAGAUACCCUGGUAGUCCACGCCGUAAACGAUGUCUACUUGGAGGUUGUGCCCUUGAGGCGUGGCUUCCGGAGCUAACGCGUUAAGUAGACCGCCUGGGGAGUACGGCCGCAAGGUUAAAACUCAAAUGAAUUGACGGGGGCCCGCACAAGCGGUGGAGCAUGUGGUUUAAUUCGAUGCAACGCGAAGAACCUUAC
rnacentral:rRNA from 1 species